UAGGGAAUCUUCGGCAAUGGACGGAAGUCUGACCGAGCAACGCCGCGUGAGUGAAGAAGGUUUUCGGAUCGUAAAGCUCUGUUGGUAGAGAAGAACGUUGGUAGGAGUGGAAAAUCUACCAAGCGACGGUAACUAACCAGAAAGGGACGGCUAACUACGUGCCAGCAGCCGCGGUAAUACGUAGGUCCCGAGCGUUGUCCGGAUUUAUUGGGCGUAAAGCGAGCGCAGGCGGUUCUUUAAGUCUGAAGUUAAAGGCAGUGGCUUAACCAUUGUACGCUUUGGUAACGGGAGGACUUGAGUGCCGAAGUGGAGAGUGGAAUUCCAUGUGUAGCGGUGAAAUGCGUAGAUAUAUGGAGGAACACCGGUGGCGAAAGCUGCACUAUGGUCUGUAACUGACGCUGAGUCUCGAAAGCGUGGGGAGCAAACAGG
rnacentral:rRNA from 1 species